UAAACAAUAAACAAUUUUCCGCAGCGAAUAAUAUAAAUAUGUGCUAGAGUGUGUUCCGAUUUCCAUCAGCCGUCAUCAAUAACCCGACUUGACUCGAACCGAAUCGAAUGUCCAGAACAGGAGGCUGCUAGUAUUCUAUUGGCACUCGAUAAGUGAGGCUAAAACAAUUCAUUAUUGUGUGUCAUAAGCACACACUUUGCACUCGAGCCGAGGGAAACUCGAACGGAAACGUGAAGAAAACUGGCACUGGUAACUGGUAUUGGUACUGGUGACGUAACCCAAAGAAAACUCGACUGUCAGUUGCACAUACGCCGAAAGCAAAUUUAAAUGUUAAUCAAAUGCCGCUACUGAGGAAUAUAUAAGUACAACAUGGGCGGAAGGCCCAAAAAGAUGAAACCGAAAAUAAGAGAAUCGAAGGCAAAUUUCGCAUGCAUGCACACGAAAAUGAGUUUGAUGUGGGGUAGCUCGAGGAUGAGCGGUUCACAAAUGUAAUUGACAGUUCAAGUGACAGCGGGACGGCGGGAAAAGUAAAGGAUUCUUUUCGUCCCCAAUGAAAGGAAGGCCACAAUAAAAAUUCACGGCAACACACAUCCUCUGUCCACUUUUCAAAAAUGCAAAAUGCGCGCCACAAACAAUUUUUAAUU
ensembl:ncRNA lncRNA:CR43408 long non-coding RNA:CR43408